AGCCUGUGCAUAGAGAGAACAUAUUCCUUUGUUUGCAGUAGAAGUACGAAAUUUUCUUUUGCUUAGUGCAGAAACUCUUUUUCUUCGUGAGCACAAUGAUGCCUCAGCCAGCAUUGUCUGUUGAUGGUACUUCUUAGGAAGACUGGAGCUCCUGACGAGUCUGAUAUUUUCUGUCAGCUUUGAAGGACCGUGAAUUGAAGAACCUGGUGGCACUCAUUUGCUUCUACCACCUUUGCUGUGGGGACAGUGACUUUCACAGACGCAUUCAGAGAGGAAUGGUGACAGCUGAAUUCCAGCAGGAAUGAGAGCAUAUUUCUGCAAAACGAGACCAAAAAGAUGGACCUGAAUUGUGAAUGUCUCAGUUGGUGUUCCAAGAUAUUUAUUUGACCCUCCACUCUGUACUUCAGGGACUUUAAAGCCCAUCUCUGGUUUAAAGAUGAUUUUGGUGGUUAUUUCUAAUAAUAUUAGGAAAAAUACGGUUGAUCUUUCAAAGUCAGUUGUAUUUGUUUAACACAAGCUUUUCAUGCCUCAGAAACAUUUAGCGUUCUCAUAGCUUUUAGGUGUUCUUCUAUUAAAAAAAAAAAAGCAACCCCCACCUCCUGCCCCAUUGCCACCCUUCAUUUGGGUUAGGACCAAACUGAAGAAGAUAAUGAAGCAUAGUCUAUACCUCUGCUUUUAGGAUAUCAUUUUAGCUAGAAUCUCAGCUCUAUCUUUUUUAAUCAGAUAUCCACAUCAAUCAGCUGUAAAAGAUUAGUGUCUAGAAAUCAGGCAGCAGUUUACCCAAACAAUAUUUGUUUUUUAUUCCAGAGCUCAGGUUUGCAUGAGAUUCAUAAGUGUAAUAAAUAUCUAAGUAAAUAA